UCCUGGAAACGGGGAUUAAUACCGCAUAAUAUGCCGAAUCGCAUGACUUUGGUAUUAAAGCAGCAAUGCACUUAGAGGAUGAGUGUGCGUCCCAUUAGGUAGUUGGUGAGGUAACGGCUCACCAAGCCUAUGAUGGUAGCCGGUCUGAGAGGAUGGUCGGCCACACGGGCACUGAGACACGGGCCCGACUCCUACGGGAGGCAGCAGUAAGGAAUAUUGGUCAAUGGUGGAAGCACUGAACCAGCCAUGCCGCGUGGAGGAAUAAGGUCCUACGGAUUGUAACUCCUUUGACGAGGAAGAAAAUGUUAGAUUUAUCUAAUUUUGACGGUACUCGUAGAAUAAGCACCGGCUAACUCCGUG
rnacentral:rRNA from 1 species